rnacentral:rRNA from 1 species
UACGGGGGGAGCAAGCGUUGUUCGGAUUUACUGGGCGUAAAGGGCGCGUAGGCGGCCACCGCAAGUCAGUUGUGAAAGCUCUGGGCUUAACCCAGAAAGGUCAGCUGAUACUGCGGGGCUAGAGUGCAGAAGGGGCAACUGGAAUUCUCGGUGUAGUGGUGAAAUGCGUAGAUAUCGGGAGGAACACCAGUGGCGAAGGCGACUACCUGGCCUGUUCUUGACGCUGAGGCGCGAAAGCUAGGGGAGCAAACGGG